rnacentral:tRNA from 1 species
GUCCCCUUCGUCUAGCGGUUAGGACAUCGCCCUUUCACGGCGGUAACAGGGGUUCGAAUCCCCUAGGGGACGCCA